rnacentral:rRNA from 1 species
GAACCUCAGAUCAGGUAGGGAUAC